GACGAACGCUGGCGGCGUGCUUAACACAUGCAAGUCGAACGAUGAAGCCGGAGCUUGCUCCGGUGGAUUAGUGGCGAACGGGUGAGUAACACGUGAGCAAUCUGCCCUUGACUCUGGGAUAACUGCGGGAAACUGUAGCUAAUACCAGAUACGACACCUUGGGGCAUCCCAGGGUGUGGAAAGAAUUUCGGUCAAGGAUGAGCUCGCGGCCUAUCAGCUAGUUGGUGAGGUAAUGGCUCACCAAGGCGACGACGGGUAGCCGGCCUGAGAGGGUGACCGGCCACACUGGAACUGAGACACGGUCCAGACUCCUACGGGAGGCAGCAGUGGGGAAUAUUGCACAAUGGGCGAAAGCCUGAUGCAGCAACGCCGCGUGAGGGAUGAAGGCCUUCGGGUUGUAAACCUCUUUUAGCAGGGAAGAAGCGAAAGUGACGGUGCCUGCAGAAAAAGCACCGGCUAACUACGUGCCAGCCGCCGCGGUAA
rnacentral:rRNA from 1 species